rnacentral:rRNA from 1 species
AUGCCCUGCGACGAAGACGAGAGCAAGGCGGAGUUGCAACCAUGGCGACGGGGGAGCUGCGACGGCAGCGCCCGGUGCUACAACCGUGACGGCAUAAGCUGCAUCCACCUGCCCCCCGCUGCUCCGGCGAGCACCACACCCACCUGCGUCGUGCUGCUCCGGCGAGCGGCCGCAUCCACCUCCCACCGCGUUGCACCAGCGAGCAGCCGCAUCCACCUCCCACCGCGCUGCUACGGCGAGUGCCUCACCUCCACCUGCCCCCAUUUUGCUCCGGUGAGCGACGCGCCUCCACCUGUGCUGGAAUGGCGGCUGCACCAUGGACUAGCGGAAGAGAUGCUGGAAAUAGCCCUGGCGGGAGCUGCAGUCGGCGAUAUUUUUUGCUACAUCUGGUUACUAUUUUUGCUGGAAUCAACAACAUUUUUUUUGCUACGAUCCACAUUUAGAGUGCUUUUUGCUGAAACCGCUCCCAAAUUUUGCUACCAUGGUUUUGUUUUUUGCUACAACCAUUGCAUCCCCUGUCUUUUGAUUUUUUUGCUAGAUCCAUCUAUAUGCUGGAACAAUUCCAAGUUUUGCUACCACGGUUUUUUAUUUUUGCUACUGCCGUCUUAGUUCUUGCUAUCAUCCCUGUUUUUGAUUUUUAUUUUUUUUUGCUGGAUCCAUCCUUUUGCUGGAACCACUCUAUUUUUUGCUACCACGGUCUUUGAAUUUUGCUACCACCGUCUUUAUUUUUUGCUACAACCUUAUCUUUGAUUUGUUUUGUUGGAUCCAUCUUUUUGCUGGAAUCACUCCCAAAUUUUGCUACCAUCGUUUUGUUUUUUGCUUCCACUGUCUUUGAUUUGUGCUACCACCCAUCUUUUUGAUUUUUUGCUGGAUCUAUAAUAUUGCUUGAAGGGAUUGAACCAGCUAUUUAUUCUGUGGAAACCAGCGAUUUGUUUUGUUGGAACAACUUCUUUUCAGAGCGGGAUGCACCAGCGACGACGGUGGUGGUGCACCAGCGACGACGAUGACCAGUUGACGGGAUUGACGACGGCUGGUGGCGAUGCUGGAAACGCCCACCCGGCGGUGCUACAACCAGUGGGGGUGGAGACACUCGUCGAGCUGCAAAGGCCUGGCGCACUGGACAUAUUUGUUUCGACAGGAGGGUGGGGCAGCACCGGCGAGGGGCGCGCGGGAGGCUACUGUUGACGGCAGGGGCGUGGAGCGCGUGCUGCACGACGACGGCGAGGCAAGCCAGAGGGAAACUUCGAUCUGCCAGUGGGAGGGGCGCGGCCUUGCCCGAUGCGAGCGGGCGGCUUUUCUUUUGUUUCCUGUGGCGAAGGAAGAAAACAUUGCGGGAUCUGAUCGAGCGGCUGUGGAUGCAUGUAUCGGGCGGCUAGGGGCCGACCGGCCGAAAGGUUUCGGCGGGCGCGCCGGCGCUUAGUGGUCGCCUUAC